CCUACGGGUGGCUGCAGUGGGGAAUAUUGCACAAUGGGGGAAACCCUGAUGCAGCGACGCCGCGUGAGUGAAGAAGUAUUUCGGUAUGUAAAGCUCUAUCAGCAGGGAAGAAGCAAGUGACGGUACCUGACUAAGAAGCCCCGGCUAACUACGUGCCAGCAGCCGCGGUAAUACGUAGGGGGCAAGCGUUAUCCGGAUUUACUGGGUGUAAAGGGAGCGUAGACGGCGAUGCAAGUCCGAUGUGAAAACCCAUGGCUCAACCAUGGGAUUGCAUU
rnacentral:rRNA from 1 species